UGGAGCUCCGACCUCAGCUUCGCCUGCGAGCUGGGUUGUGUAAAGGCUGGUCAUUUUGGGGCGCUUAGGGGUGGGUGCCGGGGGGCGCGCUUUCCCUCGUGAAGGUCGCUCCAGGAGUCAUGCGUACAUUCGUUCAUUUUGCUCUGGACGCACUGAUGUUCCCGGCUCGCCGCCGUGCCGCAGUCACGAGGCUCUCCGAACGCCUUUCACUGUGUUUCUGUUUACAUUCGCGUCUGCAAGACCCGGCGGCGCGACCGAGGCCCGAACAGAUGGAGAUGGGCUGCCAUGUUGUGAGCUGCCCCAUGGGGAAGAGGCUCACAUGUGAGGAACUGAGGGAGGCCUCCAGAAAACAGCCAGUGAAGAACUGAGACCCUCAGUCCAAUAGCCUAUGAGGAACUGAAUCCUGCUGACAACCAUAUGAAUGAGCUUGGAAGCAGAUCCUUCCCCAGUGAAGCCUUCAUGUGAGACUGCAGCCCACUUGACACUUUGAUUUGUAGCUUGUGACAGACCCCAAGCCAGAAGAGUCAGGUAAGCAGUGCCUGCACUCCUGACCCAUGGCAACUGGCAUGAUAAAUGUUUUUUCCCAUGAAGCUAUGUUUUAGAGUAAUUUGUUUUGCAGCAAUAGAUAACUAAUUCACUAGGUAAAGGUUAUAUCCAUUGUAAUCUUUCAACUUUUCUGUAGAUUUGCAGUUUUAUGUGCUGACAGGUGAACACACUGCUGUUGGCACCAUGGCCACUGCAUACUACGUGCUGUCAUGCUAACAUUUGAUGCUGCAGCAGUAAGUUAUUUCUCAAUUGAUUCUGAGUCUCUGGUUCACUAGCAGGAUCAUGUGCCCAAGCUCCAGCUUCCAAGGUGUGAGGCCAGAAAGUACCUGACCCUCUCAGCUUCCACAGUGGGAAUUGUGGCCCUGUCUCUCAAAUAGGGAGGUAUUCAGACACUGAGUAGAUGAAAAAAAAAAAAGAAAAGAAAAAAAAAGGUGGGGGGGGGCGGUUGGUAAGAAAAGAAAAAGGAAAAGAGGGGGGAGAAAGUGAAAAGAAGAGAAACAUCUGCUAUACUUUGUUCUACUCCUCUACUCCCAACUGCCCAGAAAGCUCCCCUGCUUAGGAGAGAAUCAGAUCAGCAGAGUUCCUGAUGACCUAGUUUACUUGCCUGGAGACUCAUUAGGGUAGCUCAACUACUGACUCUUCCUGUCUCCGUUUUUACCCUCCUGCCAAUAACAACCCCCUCUGUCUGUGUCUCUUUAAAGCCCCAAGAGAGAUGAUCUGAUGGUUUGGCUGGUCACUGUUUAAUAGAGGGUGUUCUUGUUGGUCUGGAUUUUCACUCUAGGCUACGUCAGAAGGUCUGGAUUGGCCAAUAGCUUGGAUGCCCUUGGGGCCAAGCUCCGUCCAAUCUGUUUAUUUGCCUGCGGGGUGGUAACAAACAGAGAAACUUCCACAAAGGAGCCCCUAAGACCCCUAAGUCAUGGACUUGUACAGGCAUUUUGAGGCUUUUAUAAGGGGGCAGUGUUAGAAACGCUUGUUCCCUGGUGCUGCAAAGAAGUAGCUCUCGAGUUGGAGAGAAGUAAAAGCUCGAACCGGCCUGGGAAGGACCUUACCUAGUGAUCCUAACUACUGAAACUGCAGUCUGGACAGCAGAAAAAGGAUUGACCCAUCACACCCGAGUCAGGAAAGUGCCACCCCCUCCAGAGUCAUGGGCCACGGUCCCAGGGGAAAACCCUACCAAACUAAAGCUAAGAAAAAUUUAACUCUCUUUCAUCCAUUUGAUUAUGACUUCUUUCCUCGCUCUAUUGCUGACCACCUAGUUAUUAAUGUAACCAAGUCAAUUUUGCCUCAAACUAUUACAUUUGAUGCUUGCCUUGUUAUACCCUAUGGAGACUUGCCAAGUCAGAGGCAACUCUCCACUUCAGGAAAG
rnacentral:lncRNA from 1 species